GGGAAACCGGAGCUAAUACCGGAUAAUAUAUUGAACCGCAUGGUUCAAUAGUGAAAGACGGUUUUGCUGUCACUUAUAGAUGGAUCCGUGCCGCACUAGCUAGUUGGUAAGGUAACGGCUUACCAAGGCAACGAUGCGUAGCCGACCUGAGAGGGUUAUCGGCCACACUGGAACUGAGACACGGUCCAG
rnacentral:rRNA from 1 species